UACGGGGGGGGUAAGCGUUGUUCGGAAUUACUGGGCGUAAAGGGCUCGUAGGCGGCCAACUAAGUCAGACGUGAAAUCCCUCAGCUUAACUGGGGAACUGCGUCUGAUACUGGAUGGCUUGGAUUCGGGAGAGGAAUGCGGAAUUCCAGGUGUAGCGGUGAAAUGCGUAGAUAUCUGGAGGAACACCGGUGGUGUAGACGGCUUUCUGGACCGUAACUGACGCUGAGACACGAAAGCGUGGGUAGCAAACAGG
rnacentral:rRNA from 1 species